rnacentral:misc_RNA from 1 species
ACUGAAACUUACUCUUCUAGGAAAAGACACACGUCAUAUAAAACUACAAGGAAGUAUUUCACAACCAUAUCGGACAUUUUGAAGCUGCACGAAUUGUAAGACCCCACUACAAAGGCUUGUACCAACUUGAUUGAGAACAGAUGGUGGUGCAUCAAACGCCAGUUACCGAGCACUCAUAGCACCAGAGGCAAUUUCGGUUCACAUCUUUGCGAAUAUAUGUGGAGAAGUAAAAUCAAGAAAGAACAUGUAUUCGCAGAAUUGCUAAAGGCCAUCGCUAACGACUAUUCAUUUUAAUGGAAAAAAAUGACAUACAUCAUAUAAAACUACAAGGAAGAAUUUCACAACUGGAUCAGACAUUUUUAAGCAGUACGAAUUCGAAGAUCAGAAGUUCUCAAAUAAUGGAUCGUACUAAAAUCAACAUUCUCCAAAACAUCCACGAAGAGAUGGUCAAAGGUACAUUCAAUGACCUUGACAUUAUCUGUGAGAAUGGGACAACGAGCGCAAACCGUUUGGUCCUGGCAGCGAUGUCAUCUUACUUCCGGGCAAUGUUAACAUCAGACAUGACAGAGAGUCGGACGGGCGUCUUAAAUCUGCCCACGGUCUCGGUGUCGGUGUUCCAGGAUAUUCUUAAGAUGUCUUUCUGUUCAGUGGAUCUUGUAAAUGAAGAUAACUGCAUCAAAAUGUUAGACGCAUGCGAAAUGAUGCAGCUUGAUGACAUCAAAGAUCUGUGUCAUUGUUAUCUUAAGAAAAGUCUAGUGAUCAACACCGACAAUUGUCUACACUGGUGGAGACUUCUGAAUCGCUACAAUGUUCCUGAUUUGUCCAGGAGAGCAUUCUCUUAUCUGACAGAAAACUUGACCGACUUUGUUGAAAGAGAAAACAUUUUUCAUUUGUCAAAGACAGAACUCUUAGAAGUAUUGUCUAAAGAUGAUUUGAAAUGUAAAGAAGAUGUAAUUAUGAAAGGUGUCAUGAAGUGGAUUGAAAGGAACAACCCGGAUGCAGAUGAUGUAAAAGGUAUAUUUGAAAUGAUCAGAAUUGAUCUUGUUGAUGCAAAGUUCCUCAUUGCCAAUGUGGUAUUUUCUAAAUUAAUUUCAGAAAAUAACUCUGUUCAGCAAAUGAUAAAAGAUGUGACACUUUCAAAACUUUGUACACUGUCUACCAGCAGAUUUCGUAGUGGGCGUCCAAAUGUUUUUGUGUUGUACUACAACAAAACGUCACUUCUGUCUUGUUUUACAUCAGAUGGGACAUGGGAAGACGCUCCACCUGCUCCAGUAGAUCCUGGAUGGUGUUAUUCAGCAGCAAGACUAGAUAACAAGAUCUACAUCACUGGUGGUGGCAUUAGAGGAAAAUGUACACUCGUUUACGACGUCUGUAGAAGAGAGUGGGGAACAGGUCCAGAUCUCGAACAACAACGCAUUAUUCACUGCAUGGCCACAGCUAAUUCUAAAGUGUAUGCAAUUGGUGGUGGGUACAGCAACACGAUUGAAGAGAUGAGCGAGAGUGGAACACGUACGCUGGCAGGUUGUUGGAGAUUUGAAACAGAAGAGAGAACAUGCAUUCGCUGCUACAGUUGGACACAACAUUCUGGUGAUGGGUGGACUGAGUGGUGAAAGUGGAUCAGAUGUUAUCCAGUGUUUCAAUACAGCGACUCGCUGUGUGUCUAACCUCAGCUCACGUUUACCAUACAGCUCGAUGUGUCUGAGAGGUUCGGUUCACCUCCCUGAUGUAUAUCUGCUGGACAAUGAUGGAAAUGUGAUGCACGUCCAGGUCACUGACAGUGAUGGUGAAAUCAAGAUUGAAGUCAAGUCAACAGCGAAAUGGCGAUCAUUUCAAUAUUAUUUUGGUGUAGUAUGGCAGAACGGAAGCUUGCUGUCCUUCAGUGGCUGUGACACUAAGUGUAAAAUUAUAAAAUACAACCUGGCUGAAGGGAAAGAGGACAAUAUAACUUUCCCAGAAUCAACGAGACGUGGUUAUGUGUAUGGUGUUCUGCCAGUGUCUCAUAAAGUAUAACAGAUUUUGGAUUGAGUUUAUUCUGGGACAUAACAUCGUUUGUAUUUAAUCUCACUGAUCAAGUGGGUCUCUUCCUAUUAGGAUCUAUUUAAAUUAUGCGUAAAACAUUAAUAGCAGUUUGAUGAAUUUGGUCACAAAACCUGUAGAGAAACUAAAAUUUGAUUUAACCAAAAAAAACAACAACAUAAUAAUAAAAAUAAUAAAUAAAUAAAUAAAAAAUGCACCAAAAUUAUAACGCCUUAAAUAAAUGUAUUCAAUUGUUUCUCGAAUUAUCUUUUUGAUCGAUUAAUUAAAUAUAUUCGUUGAAAUCAAUUUUAAUUUGUAUAUUUGGCGAUUUUGAUAACAAAGGCUAAAGAUGGGGUCGGGCACCACUUCACCUAUUUUGGUUUGUGACUGGAUUAUGGCUACGGAGCUAUAAACCGUGGGAUAAGGCUUUAUUUUGUUUGGCUAAUUCUAGGUGUUUAAAGCUGCUGUUAUAACAGUGUUUACUAGUGCAAAAGACAAACGUAACAACACUUUUAAUAAACUCGAGCUGCGGCUCGUCUUCACAAUAAACGUACAUCAUGAAAAACGUCUUGUCAUUAUGAAGACGAUAAUAACGGAAAGGUAUCUUGUCAGUUAUUUCCCUUUAUUGGAUUGGGUCCAUCUCAAAGAGAAAAAGAAGAAAAACAAUCGUACUGUACGGAGAACUUUCGUAUAAGACUGACUGUUUGCAACACAAUGCGCUUCGUGCAUUAACACAGGUGUCAAUUCAGUGUUUUACUUAUGUGUAUAAUCAAAUAAUUAAUGUGCGUAAUCAAAUAAUGUGUUUCUGGUUGUGUGUGUAACAUAUUGACCAAGUGCUUAUUUCUUACGAUCCCUAGUUCUCGUUCCAGCCAGGGCACCACGACUAGUUUAUCAAAGGCCGUGGUGUGUACUACCCUGUCUGUGUAGUCCUACACCAUAUGUUUGAUUAUGAGAGACUAGAAUACAGCAUUCGUGGCUGUUAGACACCGUUACGGUCCCUAGUUCUCGUUCCAGCCAGGGCACCACGACUGGUUUAUCAAAGGCUGUGGUGCGUACUACCCUGUCUGUGUAGUCCUUCACCAUAUGUUUGACUAUGAGAGAUUAGAAUACAGCAUUCGUGGCUGUUAGACACCCUUACAGUCCCUAGCUCUCGUUCCAGCCAGGACACCACGACUGGUUUAUCAAAGGUCGUGGUGCGUACUACCCUGUCUGUGGGAUGGUGCAUAUAAAAAAUCCCUUGCUGCUAAUCGCAAAGAGUAGCCAAUGAAGUGGCGAUAUUGAAUUUCCUCUCUCAUUAUCUGUGUGGUCCUUCACCAUAUGUUUGACGUCGUUAAAUAAAAGAUUUCUUUCUUUCCCUUACGGUCUCACGAUAUAUAAAGACCGAAAACGCAUUCCGUCUUUGAUUAGACAUGAAGUCAAAGGUCAUUCUUCUCUCUCAUAUAUGAUGUUACCAUGUGUUACACCGUGUAUAUAUUAAGGGUCUCACGUGUAAUGUUUAUAAAGUGUGUGUCGUCAUAUAUGAUGUUACCAUGUGUUACACCUUGUAUAUAUUAAGGGUCUCACCAGUAAUGUUUAUAAAGUAUGUGUCGUCAUAUAUGAUGUUAUAAAGUAUGUGUCAUCAUAUAUGAUGUUACCGUGUGUUACGCCGUGUAUAUAUUAAGGGUCUCACGGGUAAUGUUUAUAAAGUGUGUGUCAUCAUAUAUGAUGUUACCGUGUAUAUAUUAAGGGUCUCACGUGUAAUGUUUAUAAAGUGUGUGUCAUCAUAUAUGAUGUUACCGUGUGUUACGCCAUGUAUAUAUUAAGGGUCUCACGUGUAAUGUUUAUAAAGUGUGUGUCGUCAUAUAUGAUGUUACCGUGUGUUACACCGUGUAUAUAUUAAGGGUCUCACGUGUAAUGUUUAUAAAGUGUGUGUCGUCAUAUAUUAUGUUACCGUGUGUUACACCGUGUAUAUAUUAAGGGUCUCACGUGUAAUGUUUAUAAAGUGUGUGUCAUCAUAUAUGAUGUUACCGUGUGUUACACCGUGUAUAUAUUAAGGGUCUCACGUGUAAUGUUUAUAAAGUAUGCGUCGUCAUAUAGGAUGUAACUAUGUGUUACACCUUGUAUAUAUUCUGAAUAUGUUUGUAUAGACAGCUAAAAUAAACCAGUCUAUGUAUACACUCAA